GCCACGGCACAAUCAAUCGGAAAUGGACAGCUCAUGGUGCUGAAAGUAGGCAAAUUUGAGUAAACAUUAUUCAUUUAAAACGUCUCAAUUUUAAUUAGGGAUAUGUGUUGSAGCCUAUUUCUUCCUAUUUAAGAAAUAAGAGGUAGGCCUGCCUGUUUGACAGAUGAAAUUAGGCUAUAGGCUGCUAUAUCCAUAGAUUUGGUAGUCAAUUCCUCCAACCGCCAUGCACUCUUUAAAUAGCCCACCUCUGUGUCAAGGAAGGGCUGUUAAGACUUGAAGUUAGUUUGUAUGAGAGGGUGUGCCAUAGGCCUACCUCUUGUUAAAGAAAAGGGCAAAAAGUACACUGUUAGUUUAAGAUUUUGAAGAAAAUGAAACGGAUGUGAUUAUAUACAGUUAUCUAUAACAGCGCUUUGGUCCGCGAUACUUAAUGCUAGAAACAAGCUGUAAAAUAGGAAUACCCGGGAAAGACGUGACUCUGAUGCAUAUGGGGAUAUCGUUGUUUAAUUUGGAAAUAAUCWAAUUCUGUCACUAUCAAUUGAUUAAGCUAUUCACGUUCUGUACAAUAAAAUACAUUUAAACACAGACAGCUUUUAGGGAAACACUUGUGACCUCUCGUUGGGUUAAGCCAAGGAAGAAGAUUAGCCAUCAGUUGAAGCUUACAUUAUUCUGCGUCAGUAGGCCUACUCGGUCUGGGGUGGAAAGGUGCGAGGGCCAUCCUGUGCCACCAGUCAAUUGAUGGUGGAUGACCUUCUGACCCCGUGCUCGCCAGGUGACCCGGCUGCCAUAGAAUUGACCUGGAUGGAUGUGCCUAGCGCCAAGCUGCUGGAGCCCAUCAUCUGCAUGUCCGACAUGCUGCCCUCACUAUCCACCACGCAACCCACAGUCAACAUGGAGGUCUUGUUCAAGGUCAGGAAGUUCACAGAGGACUUAGAACAGGAGGGUUGAGAGCUCCUGGUUGGCAGGGGCUUUACUACUUCCUACUCAGUCUCUCCUAUCAAGACCCAACUCCAGUCAAAGAGUAGCUACAGUAUUACAACAGUAUUACAACACUACGAACCUGCAUUGACAAGAAUGAUGGAGCAUUUUAARUUACACACAAUUGUGCAAUGGA